AUUGAACGCUGGCGGCAGGCCUAACACAUGCAAGUCGAGCGGAUGAAGAGAGCUUGCUCUCUGAUUUAGCGGCGGACGGGUGAGUAAUGCCUAGGAAUCUGCCUGGUAGUGGGGGAUAACGUUCCGAAAGGAACGCUAAUACCGCGUACGUCCUACGGGAGAAAGCAGGGGACCUUCGGGCCUUGCGCUAUCAGAUGAGCCUAGGUCGGAUUAGCUAGUUGGUGAGGUAAUGGCUCACCAAGGCGACGAUCCGUAACUGGUCUGAGAGGAUGGUCAGUCACACCGGAACUGGGGCACGGUGCAGACUCCUACGGGCGGCAGGAGUGGGGAAUAUUGGACAAUGGGGGAAAGCCUGUUCCAGCCAGGCCGCGUGUGUGACGAAGGUCUUCGGAUUGUAAAGCACUUUAAGUUGGGAGGAAGGGCAGUAAGUUAAUACCUUGCUGUUUUGACGUUACCGACAGAAUAAGCACCGGCUAACUUCGUGCCAGCAGCCGCAGUAACAC
rnacentral:rRNA from 1 species